rnacentral:rRNA from 1 species
GAGUUUGAUCUUGGCUCAGAUUGAACGCUGGCGGCAUGCUUUACACAUGCAAGUCGAACGCGGGUGAGGGGCAACUCUCACCUGAGUGGCGAACGGGUGAGUAAUACAUCGGAACGUGCCUCGUAGUGGGGGAUAGCUCGGCGAAAGCCGGAUUAAUACCGCAUACGAUCCACGGAUGAAAGCGGGGGACCGCAAGGCCUCGCGCUAUGAGAGCGGCCGAUGUCCGAUUAGCUUGUUGGUGAGGUAAAGGCUCACCAAGGCGACGAUCGGUAGCUGGUCUGAGAGGAUGAUCAGCCACACUGGGACUGAGACACGGCCCAGACUCCUACGGGAGGCAGCAGUGGGGAAUUUUGGACAAUGGGGGCAACCCUGAUCCAGCCAUGCCGCGUGAGUGAAGAAGGCCUCGGUUGUAAG